rnacentral:rRNA from 1 species
UGGGGAAUAUUGCACAAUGGGCGCAAGCCUGAUGCAGCGACGCCGCGUGGGGGAUGAAGGCCUUCGGGUUGUAAACUCCUUUCAACCAUGACGAAGCGUGAGUGACGGUAGUGGUAGAAGAAGCACCGGCUAACUACGUGCCAGCAGCCGCGGUAAUACGUAGGGUGCGAGCGUUGUCCGGAAUUACUGGGCGUAAAGAGCUCGUAGGUGGUUUGUCGCGUCGUCUGUGAAAUUCCGGGGCUUAACUCCGGGCGUGCAGGCGAUACGGGCAUAACUUGAGUGCUGUAGGGGAGACUGGAAUUCCUGGUGUAGCGGUGAAAUGCGCAGAUAUCAGGAGGAACACCGAUGGCGAAGGCAGGUCUCUGGGCAGUAACUGACGCUGAGGAGCGAAAGCAUGGGUAGCGAACAGG